rnacentral:sRNA from 1 species
AGGCGCGAGGCGGAAAUGGGUCACCGACCCGCGGGUGGAAUGGGCGGCAUGGGGUUACUGGGACGAGCACCAAUUUUGCGGGGGGCGGCUGGAGAAGGCCCAGGGAACCCUGACCACGCCCAACUGGCCCGAGUCCGAUUACCCCCCGGGCAUCAGCUGUUCCUGGCACAUCAUCGCGCCCCCGGACCAGGUACCGACCCUCCUCCCCGGGCUGCCCUAGGGGACCCAGGAGGCGCCCUCCAGCUUGCAGCCAGCAGAGAUUUAUUGAAGAUCUGCUGUGUCCCGAACACUGCGCUUGCGCUGGUGGGCACCCAAAACAGCCCCAACCCCUGCAUGCACGCAAACAAAAAUGUAAAAAUUACAACUGAGACAAGUCUCAGGAGAGCGAGGUACAGGGUCCUGGUAUAACACGCGGGCCUGUCACUUGUGAGUGCGCCAGGACUUGACCUUGCCAACGACGACGACCAACGCCCCUGCAGGGUCCCAUGGGUGUGUGUGGUCCUCCGUGCUGUGGUGUGAACGCCUUCAGGAAAGGGGCCCA